ACCCAGAUGCUAAAGAUUGUAACUUUUUAUCUUCCAAUAUGAAUUAAAACCAAAAAGAUUGAAUCUUGAUUGAAAAGAAGACUCCCUUUUUCUCCACAACUUGAACUUAGUACCCUUAAAAUACAAAUAAACCAAUCCAAAAUAAUAUGUUAUCCUUAUAAAAAUUUGAUCUUUUCCUUGAAUACUCAAAAUUCAAUAGCUCCACAUUCAGAUCUCAAAAUCUUGGAAUCCAAAGUUACCAUUAACAUUAAGAAAAUACUCAGAAAUAAUAUACAAGUUGGAUACAACAAUGAACAUAUGGAUAUAAGAUUGGUAAAAAAAGAGAUACAAACCAGUAUCUGCAGUCAAGAAGCAGAACAAAAAUUUUAAACAGUAGCCAUAAUUCAAUUAAAAUAAAUAUUUAUGUUGCCCCCUUUUUGAGAAAUACUCCCAAAAAAAAUUGCAGAGAAGAGA
rnacentral:lncRNA from 1 species